GAAACUGCAUAAUUUGCAGAGUGAUGAGUGGUAUGGGUGCUAGCUCGCAUCUAGGCCUAUGGCACUGGCCAAAAUCUAUUGAAAAGCAUGGAAGAUCAUCAUAUGCCAUAUUUCAUGGAAGAGUAUGUAAGUCUGAGCCUUGAACGGCUACAUGUUCAGGGCACAAGAAGUACCCUUGAAAUCUCAGAAACUGUUGUUUUUUGAAAAGGAAGACAAUUAUCUUUCUGCAUCACUAUCAACAUAAGACAUUAUCAUAGAAGGAAAGUUGGUGAGGUUGGAGGAUGUGUCAAAGUGGGCAAGAACAUCCAGUUAACAGCCCAAGAUGGCAAAAAGCAACAUAGUCAUCAAGCGGAAAUCUUAGAGCAAGAGCAGAUGGGUGUCACUAAUGCUUUGAUUAAAUGGUAUAUUAUAGUUUGCUAAAAAUAGCCACGAGAUAAUGCAGCAGACCUAAGAUGAAAGAUAUAUUAGUUUAGUCAAAAGAAACGUUGUCCUCAUGCCUAAGAUGAAAUAUGCCUUCAUAAAUAGAUUUUUAUAGAUUUGUGUAUGUUAUAUAUUUUGAAUUAUGUUAGAGAUUUUGUAUUAUCAACAAUUUACUAGUUGAAUUGUAUAUAUAUAUAUAUUAGUUAUUAAUUCUAUUAAAAUGAGUUUUGCUA